rnacentral:rRNA from 1 species
GUAUUGAAAUAAGAUUUUAAUUGAAUGCUAAGAGAAUGGAAGUCCAGAAAAAAACUUUUUUUAAAUUAAAAAUUGAAGUUUUUUUAAUUUGUGCAGAAACAAUUAUUUAUAUUAAAGACAAGAAGACCCUAUGAAUUUAUUAAAUUUUUAUUUAAUAUGUAAUUACUAUUAGAAAAAUUUUGGCUGGGGCGGCUAGAAAAUAUUAUGAACUUUUUAAAAAUAAAAUGAUCCAUUAUUAGUGAUUUUAUGUUAAAUACUCUAGGGAUAACAGCGUUAUAUUUUUUGAUAGAUCAUAUUGACAAAAAAGUUUGCGACCUCGAUGUUGGAUUAGGAUACUUUUUUAAUGAAGAUAUUAAAAAAAAAAGUUUGUUCAACUUUUAUUUUCCUACUUGAUCUGAUUUCAAACCGGAAGUAUUGAAAUAAGAUUUUAAUUGAAUGCUAAGAGAAUGGAAGUCCAGAAAAAAACUUUUUUUAAAUUAAAAAUUGAAGUUUUUUUAAUUUGUGCAGAAACAAUUAUUUAUAUUAAAGACAAGAAGACCC